rnacentral:lncRNA from 1 species
CUGCCCUUUGUACUCUGGAAGCCCAGUAAAGGCCCUGGCAGGACAUCACACAGCCUCGCAGUCCAACUUGCCAGCUAUUUGUGGAACUCUGCUGCGGUGUCACCGAGAAACAGAGUUGGAGGUGACAGUUCAGAUUUUGCAUCCUCCUUCCGGAAGCCAUUUCAGUUAUGCAGCCAGUUAUGUAUCUUACUGUGCAUUUAUAGCUUAAGGAAUCACUUGCAGAUGAAAAUAGUCCUGAGCGCAGCAGAGAUGGACAUAGAGCGAAGGCAAAGAUCCACUGAUAACACGCAAACUGGAGCCUGCUUGCUGUUGUCUGAGAUAUGACAUCACAGCUAACAAGGGAGACUAAGAAGUAGAUGCCAGACAGAAGUAUCUUGGAUACAUGUACAAUGAAAUCUCAGAGCUGCAAGCAAAGUCUGGAAUUACGUAACAAGGAGUAAGUUUUCCAACUGCGGCAGAUUGCCAUGUAAGGAGAGCUGGCAUAAGCGAGGAGCGACAGAGGAAUCGCCAUGCCUGACUACAGACCUCUGCGGAAAUACAGUAUGUGCUGGGCUUUCUUGAGUUGUGUUGGGUUUUGUUGUUGUCUUUUGGGGCGGGAGGUGCAUACGGAUGCUAGACUUCAUUGGAAGAGGA